UAAUUUCCUUACUGUUGCAGUUUUGUAUUUUCUAGUCCCGGGCAGAGUCUGAACAUAAGCUGGAUGCACUUAUAACUAUGUUAUUCUAGCCUACAGACUACAUUAAGUUCAGAUACAGCUUAGUGCCUGCAACUGCUUAAGGUCUUAAAAAUUACCAUUAGCCCUCAGACUAGAAGUUGGUGUAUGAAUUUAUUUUUUAUUCUGACUUUGAUUGCAGUGACAUCAGGUUUUUAAAGUGAAUACAGUCCUCUGUGAGUGCCUGUAGAAUGAGGGCUCUGAAGUAAUUUGAUUCCCUGUUGCAGACUGAAAAAAACCCCUGUUGUCAUUCUGCAUCUUUCCAGUGUUGGUGCACCUUUGCAGUAGGAAACCCGUUAUUCAAAGUAAAAAUGUUCAUAGCUACCCUCUUAGGGUAAGAAUUAAAAAUGUUUGAGUGAUAGCAAUUAAUCAUUUCUGAGUGAAUUUCUCAGAAGGUUCGGAGCUGGUACAUGUGUAUAUGUGUCUCUGUAGGGGAGUGUGGCAUUAUGUAUUUUUCAGUGAAAUAAUUGUAAAGAAGAAAUAAAACCACUUAUCAUAUACACGUGUGUGUAUGAAAAGAGUCACACAUCUAGUUAUUCAUUUUGUCCAUUCAAUAGUGUGAUAGAUUUCUGUGAGGUUGCAUGUUAAACACUCUCUUGUUUUGGUUGAUAACAGCUUGAGGUCUUUUUAGUGAUAUUAACAUAAAAGAUUUGUAAGUAUUAGUUUUCACUAGAGAAAAAAAAUAAUACUGCAAGCAUUGAAUAUGUGAUGGUAUUUUCUGUAAGUCUAUCCACUUAUUGUUUGGGUAAGUCCUCUACUAGAAUAGUCCAUUUUCCCCACAUGCCACUCAGUUGAAACAAGAAUUUUACAGAUCAUCCACUGAGCUGAGGUUCCUCUGCUACAUCACAGGUUAUGUCUUCUUGUUACAGAGUUUGAAUCUAAAGGGUGCAUGUUUAUGAUUGUGUGUUGUUCUGGUCUGCACAGGAUUACAUUCUGAUUACGUUCUGGUUUUUUCUGGGUUGGUUUUGGUUCCAUAUAUACCCAACUCAAACUUCUCUCAUGUCCAUAAGCAGGUUGGUGGGGUGCACAUUCUUUUCAUUUCCAACUGAUACACAGGACAGUAUCAUGAAUAUUAUAUUGGUGAAUCAUAUACGCCACCUUCUGUGAGCUUUAUAUUAACAACUAAUAAUCAUCAACUUGUGUCUCACUCCACCUUCAUUCAUACACACAAAUAGCUCUUUCAUUACCAUAAAACUUAAUCCUAGUCCUGUUAGUGAAUGAGAUACAUAUACUUCAAGUUUUGUGAUAAGAUUCAUAUAACUAUGAUUAGAGUGUAGAAUUCUAAUGACAAUAUGUAGCCAAAGUAUGUCUUUCUGUUGAGGUCAGUUUUCUCUAUAACCAUUAACCAUGUCUAUUCUAGGCCCAAUGACAUUCUUCUCUUUUACAGCUCACGGUGACAGAGAACACAGCACAUUGUAACUACAGGACUUUCACUCGACUGUGAAAGAUCUCUGUCAAACCUCACAGAGAAUUUGAGGCAGCUGGCAGUUAUCAGCUGAAGCAGGUAGUCAGUAGAAGUGUAGAAGAUAAACAGAUAAUUGAAAACCAAUCUGGAAACCUGGGAGAGAUAAUAAGCCUCUCUUCUAGAGGGGAGGCAACAACUCAGAAAAUGUUUUCCUCCUGAAGUUCCUCACUUCAAAUUGAUGCAUUUUAGAGCUUCUCUUAUCUGAUGUCAUGAUCUUUUUCUACUGAAAUGGGGUUGCUCCAUCUCUACAAAAUAAUGAAAUACAUGUGCUUCACAAGCAUGGCCAUGAACAAAGACUGGUUCAUAGGUGUUCUUUUCUGCUUCCAAGGAAAAGGACGGCCAAGGGAGGAGCAUAAUUUGCGUUGCCUCUCUUCAGAAGGGAGUUUACAGCUCUAGUCUUGAGUUAAACAGCCAUUUAUGCUGAAGAACCUGUAGCCCAGAGCUCUGCCUGUCAUCUUUGUGUAUGUGUGUAUCUGUGUAUGUGUGUGUGCCUGUGUGUCCAUGUGUGCCAAAGGAAUAGUGCCUGCUUUGAAAACCUUUGCUUCUAUCACAUAUUUCCUAAAUUGGACACACAGGUAGUCUCAAUAAAAAAUAGCAGCUGUCUUAGAAAUAUUCAGUUGCCUAGAUUUUGAUAAACUACAAUAUCAAUUCAAGAAUUUUUCUUCUGUUCUUCUGAAAAACUAUUAUUAACAAAAUUGAAAGUGAAAAAUGAGUCUGUGAGGUCAGACUUGCUCCUAAAUAUCAUUUGCUCUUAGCAUGCUGGUAUUACUGUUAUGGCUAUUAUGACAUUUCUAUGAAUAAAAAAUUUAUAUUAUAAGAAGAUCU